CGCUCAGCAGUGACAGAGUCUGCAUCUGCCCAGUGGCCAGUGCAGAGCUGGGACUGGAGCCCAGGUUUCUCUCCUUGGGGGUCUCUGAAAGACUCCCAAGGCAGGCUCGGCUUUUCCACCCUCUUUCCUCCUCCAUUGCUCAAGUCUCCUGGUGUAAACUUGGUCUGCUUCCUUCCAAUGCUCACCCAUGUUCUUAUUCCUAAUGCCUGCACUGUCACUGCCUUGGCGGGGACAUGGAGACUCAGUGACACACCCUUAGGCUGGGGCUGGAGAGAGCAGCCCCCCUGAAGGCUCCUGCCCCACACCAGCCUCUGUGUCCUUGCAGGCCAGUAUGGUCAGAAAAACCCAGUCCUGGAAUCACUGUCUUCAGAACCACAGGGACCAGGGAGGCAGCCGUCCCCCGGGACCACUAGCUGCAGGCCUGGAGGCAUCCUGCUCAUACCCAGUGGGUCAUGAAUUGCCCCUCUGCAAGGCAUCCUUCUCAUAUGCAGUGAUGACAUAGCUCUUCCUCUCCUGAGUCACGGUAGGUGAAUGCCUCCAGGCUAUCAUUCUCUGGAUACAUGUGGCUCUUUGAUCUUGAGCAAAUUUACAGGCCCCUAAAAGAACUGGUUUGUCUGAGGAGAACAACCAAGGACAGAAAAUUGAGUCUCAUCCUUGAGUCAAAAUGCAGACUUCCUAUUGAAAUACAAAUCCAUCGUUUCAAAAGGUCAGCUGGGAUGGUACUUAAAAAAAGAAUUGCAGCUGGUUGCGAAUAGGGCACUGGAAACAAAAACGUCCCAUCCAAGAAUACUCUUUGGCCCUGUGCCCACAGCUUCUUGUGAUUGUGGCUUGGCCGCAUUAUCAUUCUCUUUCAGUUCCUGUCACUCAGACUUGCAAGCCUGGAGAGAGAAGGCCAGCCAGAUAGAUGGACAGGCGAUGUGCAGGCAGGUGGCCUCUCUACCUAAGUAUACGUUCUCAGGGUGUGGGCAUCUCAGCAUAGAGCCAGCUGCCCUUCACCAGCCCCAUUCACAUUCCCAUGUCCCCGGGCCCACUCAGCCUUACCUUGGAACAUAUUCUAUUUCUUAGAGGCCAAGCUUUGGCCAGAAAUGAGUGUCCCUUACCUCCUCCACACCAUGUUUCACUUCCAACGAACCUACAGGCCUGAACAAAGGUCCUAUCUACUUCCCCAAGGGCACACUUGACAUUAUCCCACAUUCCCAUCCCUUCCAACACUCAACUGAGCCUUCAGCUUUUGGCUCUGUCCCUGAAAUAGUUUGGAUAUUUAUCAUCUCCAAGUCUCAUGUUGAAAUAUGAUCCCCAGUAUUGGAGACGGGGCCUAAGGGGAGGUGUUUGGGUCAUGGGGGCAGAUCCCUCAUUGAUGGUUUGAUGCUAUCCUCAUGGUAACAAGCAAGCUGUUACUCUGUUAGUUCACACGAGAUUUGGUCGCUAAUGAGCCAGGCACCUCCUCCUCUCUCUUGCUUCUUUUCUCACCAUAUGAUGUGCCUACCCAUCAUUUGCCUUCACCCAUGACUGGAAGCUCCCUGAGGCCUCACCAGAGGCUGAUGCCAGCUCUAUGCUUCUGGUACAGUCUGCAGAACUGUAAGCCAAAUAAACCUCUUUUCUUUACAAAUUACCCCAGCUUAGGGAUUCCUUUAUAGCAACGCAAAAUGGUCUCACACAAUCUGCAUGGCCUUCUGAGACUCACCCAGUGCCUGGGCCUGCCCAGCUAAGGUUGGAGGAGGGGGGAGACAGAGAAGUUACCAAGUGAGCUCAUUUGCUUAUUUACUGCUCCACACCCACCUUGUUCCCAAAGCAUUUAAUGCAGAUGACAAAAAUACAUACA
rnacentral:lncRNA from 1 species